GAUGAACGCUGGCGGCGUGCCUAACACAUGCAAGUCGAGCGAUUCUCUUCGGAGAAGAGCGGCGGACGGGUGAGUAACGCGUGGGUAACCUGCCCUGUACACACGGAUAACAUACCGAAAGGUAUGCUAAUACGAGAUAAUAUGCUUUUAUCGCAUGGUAGAAGUAUCAAAGCUCCGGCGGUACAGGAUGGACCCGCGUCUGAUUAGCUAGUUGGUAAGGUAACGGCUUACCAAGGCGACGAGCAGUAGCCGACCUGAGAGGGUGAUCGGCCACAUUGGAACUGGGACACAGGCCAAACUCCUACGGGAGGCAGCAGUGGGUAAUAUUGCACAAUGGGCGAAAGCCUGAUGCAGCAACGCCGCGUGAGCGAUGAAGGCCUUCGGGUCGUAAAGCUCUGUCCUCAAGGAAGAUAAUGACGGUACUUGAGGAGGAAGCCCCGGCUAACUACGUGCCAGCCGCCGCAGUAA
rnacentral:rRNA from 1 species